rnacentral:misc_RNA from 1 species
CUAAAAAAUAACUAAUUGCACAGAUUGCGACUACUUUGCGAGGUUAAUCUUUUAAGCCUAAUUGCUCCAUGAUUUGAUAAUGUGAUACUACAGUAAAUAUUUGCUAAUGAUUGAUUAACUAGGCUUAAUAAAUUCGUCUCGCGGUUUAUUGACGAAUAUUGUAAUUAGUUUUUUUGUUUA